AGUUUAUGGCUGGAGCACAGUAGCUGUAGGGAAGAAUUCUCUUGCAAUGAAGUCUCUGCAUAUCACGUGAUAGCACUAGUCACAGAUGCUUAUUACUUGUCUUAAUUCUUAUUUAAGAAGGCUUAUAUGCAGGUCUGUGAUUAUAUGCCCAUUAGGUUGCGUCUGCAACCUCUGUGGCGGGUUCCCUAUUUCGGAAGAUGCUUGCUUUCCACCUACCUGCACAUGUCAGCGUUUCCUGUUUAAUGCAGUGAUGUGGUCAAAUAUGCAAGUGCAGAACUUGCAUAAUGGCACUUGGAAGUGUAAAGGUCUUGGCCUUGGCAUAUUUAGUCCCAGUAGUGCGUGCAAGGAGUUGCUGGAUAACAUAUCUAACAGUCAUCAUUGAGCACAUACCUAGAUGACUAGAAACAGAUUUAGUCUGUUUCGAUUGCUGGGGAGAAUUUAGUUGCUGAUUCUGAAAAGGGGACUCCGGAGAACAACUCUAUUGGAAGGCCUUCUUGCAUUGUGGUCAGGCUGUCCACUUCCAAAAUUGUCAAAUACCUCAGUGUCAUUUGUAAUGAAAGGACUAAGGUCUAGAUUAAAAGCAUGUUUCUGUUGCCUUCCAUUAUAACAAAUAUUGUUGGUUUGGUCUCCCGAGUGGAUAGCAAAAGCUUAAUUCAUUCAGUCCUUUUCCACCGACUGGUUGGGAACUGUGUGUCUUUUAAGCAGAGUGGUGUCAAGAAAAGGUGAAAGGAAAUGUAUAGAAAAAGGCUAUCAAAUAAAGUAUUAAAGUAAUUAUUCUGAAAAAAAAUGACUGGCAUUGGUUCGUUAAUAUUUGACAAAGAAUGAUACGAUUAAUUGGAAUAUCUCAUUUUUUUACGGAGGGCUUGUAUCACUAAUAUUAAGCAAAGAUGAUUCGAUUAAUUUAUAGUGAAUUAUUUUAUGGGGAAUUUGUGGAAGAUGCCGACUAUGAUUGUUUUGAUGUAGUCAUUUUACAUGAGUGUGUUAAGAAUUUAUUUCAUUUAAUGAUUUGUACCCGAUUAUUGAAACACAAAAAUGCUUAUGUAAAUUAAUUCAAUGUUUGCUUUUCGUUAAUACAGUGUUGACGUUAAAACACUAAAAAAAUAUGAAAAUGAGUGUAACUACAGGUUAGCCUUUUUGUUUUCUUCAUCAUACCUGUUAACGUCAUAAUUCUGAAAAGAUGAAAUUACGAUUUUGCCUAUCAUUCCUCCAAGGAUUUAUUGCUGCCUCUUGUAGGUAACUACAUGCCUACAGUAUAUUAAGUAAAAUGAAAAAAAAAAGUGUUUGGUCCUGACGUUACAAGCAUACGUGCUAAUAUGUCUAUUUUUGUAUUUAACAUGCUUUGAACGAAGUUGUCUCAGGUAACCUAUAGCUACCUAACUGCGUAUUUAGUUACUUACCUGACUGCUUAUCAAGCAUUCUCUCCUCUUUUUCGCUUUAUACGUUUGAAAUUAUGUAUCUGAAUACUUUAUUUCAUGGAAACGAUUUUGAAUGUUAACAGGUGUGUAUGCUUCCUUUAUUUAAUAAAAUUAUGUACUGAUAAACAAGCCUGGCUUUAUUAGUGGAGGAUCUGUUUUACAACUUAGGAUGUAAUGCACCACUUGGGUGUAGAAUUUAAAGCGCAGAACUGCAAUUUACAUGUGGCCUACAAAUCAUCUUUGCAUUUAUUUGGCUUAUACUGUUACUGUACAAAAUAAGGUUGUUUGACAAGUUUGUUUUUUUCAGAAGUACAUUUGGGUUCAAGUUUUAGUAUAAGACCCGAACGCUGGUCAGAACCAGACCGUCCUGGAAUUCUUGUAGUGUGCCCUGCAAUCAGUUGAAAGACAAAUGAAUUUCCGUUUCCCUUUUUAUCUGAAUGGGGCUACCUUUUUUCCUUAUUUCCCUCAUCUCCCUACACAGUUUAUAUAGGUAUCGUAGUUUAUAAGUUAUCUUUAUUUCUGAAUCUUUCUCUAUAAUGUUUAAACGCCUUUAUGAAAUUAUCACUAAAAACACAAGCAGACAUACAUUAAUAAAAAUAAAGCAAACCAUGGUAACAUUUUCAUCUACGUGCAUUACACUCCUAAGUCAUUGUUUGAGUUUGUUUUACUGUACUUUGUUGCUUAUGCAUAAAUUUUCUGGUGAAUAUUGGUAUUGCUACGACGGCCUUUAAUUUAUUCAGUGAUGUCAAUGAAAACCCAAACCGUUUUUUUUUUUAGAAGGGCAUAGAGUGUUUUACAUUUUAUACUUACUCGUAAACAAGAUAAUCAAAAAGGUGGAUAGCCAAUAUUAGACCGCCUUAAAAAGAAAGUUUUUUAGCUUUUGGGCUUUGACCCAUGUUUGUGAUGUGCAAGUAUCUAUAGCAUGUUAAAUUAUUUAAAAAAAAUGUCUUACGUGUACUGCAUUUACUACGCCAUGCAAUGUUUCUAUAUUGGAAAUAUACUACAUUGUAUGAUUGUUAUAUGUAAAUUUGCAUAACUAAAUGGGUUUGUUGAAAUAGUGUUAUUUUAGCUCCUUUUGGACACACACACAAAACUAUUUUAAGUGCUGACCUGCAGUUAUGAUAGUCAAGUAUCCAUGAUGUAUUAGUGUAUUUACUACGCGUUCACUAUGUUUACCACACCUUGCAAUGGUUCUAAAAUACAUCGUAUAAUGCAAUUGUUCAACAAGAUCUGCAUAAAGUGCGUCUGAUCUAAAUGCGUCGUUUUGGUUUCUUUGGAGUAUUGUGCGUGCGCUCACACACGUGUAUGUGUUAGCAUGCAUAUAUUGUGCAUGCAUGCAUAUAGCACACUUACAACGUGUCGUGCAGACAGAAGAGUUGUGUGAAAUGCAGGGAAUAAAAAUAAGAAAAAAAAAACAAUAGUACUGACUAGUACAAAAGCAGCUUACAACACAUAGCUUGCGUCUGUGAAUUCCUUGUUAACUUACAGCAAAAUUAUAAAGCUGUUACCUCACGUAGACUACCUUACCAAGCAACGUUCUGUAAUCAAACCCAAAACCAAUAUGGAAUCUUAUCUUUUGUUGUAAAAGCAACAGACUUAAAUAAAUGGAAAGCCUGCAGUUCAUUUUAAACCCCAUAUCCCCUAAAUACAUUUUUCGUAUUAAUUUAUUCUGAAUAGUAAUGGUAAAUAAGAAGACCCAGAAAAAAAAUUACUGACAGCCUUGCAGUGUGGUGGCUUCCAGUGUAAAUCCUUAACAUAACGGGUGCAUUUUAAUAAGGCACUGUAUUAAAUGAGGUACUGUAUUAUGCAUGGAAACCGUCUUUCUUGCACGCCGAGAAGCUUGGCUUGUUUGAUUGGUUGCCAUAGUGAAUCUAAACCUUAUAAGCAAAAGGGCACGUCUGACUUAUUAGCAUAUAUUCAAAUGAACCAUGAAAUAAUGCAAACCAUAAAUCAUGCAGUUCUUGGUGCCCAUUUCUGCGUUCAGCGCUGCCCCUCCCCCACGCAGGCCUGGGUGUCUGCAGACUGUUCCUACGGGGGGGGGGGAGACUUGAGAAUUACACGGAAUGCAAUGGCAAUGCACGUAUCUGGCUAUGCUGCCUCUUUCAAACGCACACAUACAGCAAAAGUAAUUGCACACUGUUAAAUAUUUCUCAGUCAUCCUUAUUUUUGCCUCAAAAUCUUAACAGUGCCUCAGCAAAGUCAUGUUUUGUAACCAAAUAGUGGGUGUUGUGGCAACAGUAUAAUGCCAGACAAUGAGCAGAUGAAUUCCUUUUUCAUUACAAUUUGUAUUUACCUUAAAUGUGUAAGGUGCCAACUUCCACAGGGAUCAUAUAUCCAGAGCAAAAGGGUUGUGCCUUUUCCGCAAACAUUUCAUGAAUUCUGUAUGCCCUGUUGAUAAAAGCGGUAAAACAGCAUAACGAUACAGUCAAACCCCAAAGAGAAAGAAAUGAUCCUGGAAAUGAAUACUUAGUCAGUUGUUCUUUUCUUCUUCUUCUUUUCUUAUUUUUAAACCUCCAUUUUGAAGAAUGCGUAUGACAAAUAAGUCAUUCUGUAUUAAGCCAGACACAAGUAAGCAGACUGAGGACGCUACAUUCCCAAGAAAAGAUAAAAAACGAACGUCCACGAUGCUAAUGAAAGGCUUUUUAAUUAAACGCCUUGCCUAACUAAACGAUAGUGGAAGGGGCUGGUAGACAGCAGAGAAAACCAAUUAGAGCCAAAUGAGGGUAUAAUGAGAAGUUAUAUACCAAAAAGAAACAUCGACUGGGGGAGAAAUUAAGAGUCAUGGAGACUACUUGAGGAAACCCAACAUAUUUUCAAAUGGAAAUGAUAGUGUUAGGAGUUUAAUUUAUUUUGGUUUUUGAAAUGUGUAUAAUUUUUACUGAUUUUUCAGUACAAGAGAUAACGUGUUAAAACAAUAUUGUAAUAAUUUUUGAUGAAAAAUGUCUGGACAGGUAAACCAUGGUGCCAACAGGGAUGAAACUGGCUGCUUAAAAGAUUUGUUGUGAUACUGAAAAAUAUUUAAAAAGAGCCGUUAUGGGAAUAGUUUAAAAGGUUACUUGCGAUCAAGUAUUUAUUUAUUUAUUUAUUUAGUUUCGUUUUUUUAUUUAGAUAAUUAGA